rnacentral:rRNA from 1 species
UACGUAGGGGGCUAGCGUUGUCCGGAAUUAUUGGGCGUAAAGAGCUCGUAGGCGGUCUGUCGCGUCGAAUGUGAAAACCCGGGGCUCAACUCCGGGCUUGCAUUCGAUACGGGCAGGCUAGAGUUCGGUAGGGGAGUCUGGAAUUCCUGGUGUAGCGGUGAAAUGCGCAGAUAUCAGGAGGAACACCGGUGGCGAAGGCGGCACGCUGGACCCCUUCUGACGCUGAGGCGCGAAAGCCAGGGGAGCGAACGGG